CUCAAGAAGCUUUGCUUCAAACAUCAAAACAACUACACAAGUACAGUCUUAAGGACUAUAGCAUUGUCUUUUGUUUGGUGUAUGUACUGACAAUCACCGCGAUGGGAAACAAACGUGUGGUUUUGGCCCUAGCAAUGUGUCUCGUUAUCUCAAGCUUCCAUGAGAUUUCUUGUCAGCAGGUUGGCGGAAGCAGGGAAUUUGGAACCUUAGAGGGUCAAGAAUCUGAAUCUAAUGUCCAAACCUUCGAAGGGAAAGCGACAUCAUCUGUGUCUCACUCACUCGAAGCUGAGUAUGAAGCUGCUGGUAGUUAUGAAGCGGGUC